AGCUAUUUAUCAUCACCGGAGAAUUGAUCCGGAGUUGGAGCAUCAUCGCCUUCGCAGGUAGGUUUGUGACUAAUUUUGGAGGAGAAAGGAGUGAAGGGGAUAUCGAAGGUCCAGGGUGUGUGGAAAGGAAGUAGAAGAUGAAGCAACUCAACAAGAACAAUCUCGAAUGCAUAGUGAAACCGUGACACGAUUGCAUGCGUGCCUUGAUCAGCAAUUGUAUACCAAUUUCGUGACAUGAUUGUGUACUAAUUUGUGCAAUGAUUUGAACAUGAGCGAUCUCAAGUGCAACUUGAACUGGAAUCUCAAGUGGGACCGUGGUGGAAUAUAAUCCCAAAAAAGAGAAGGUCAAGUGAAAGGCUAACUUUGAACAAAUUACGGAAGAACACUGUUGAGAAGGACAGGGAAGGUAGUAGUGAGAAACUAGUUCAACUCGAUCAAAUAUCAAGGUAAUUAAACGAAUGUGAUUUUGAAAAGAUAUUGCACUUGUUUACUAUUGACAUUACAAACUAUGCUAUGAAAUUCACUGAUAAAAUGA